rnacentral:sRNA from 1 species
AUGUUAUCUCCCCUAGAUCUUGAAAUUUUUUUUUACCGUAGCUUUAAAAAUCUAUGGAGAGAUAUGAUAAUAAGCUUUGAUGCUUAUGAAAUAUCACUGAUGAUCUUCAAUCUACUUACUGCAUCAGAAACACACAACACAGAGACUUUUUUUCUUUUAUUUGUAAGAAUUUUUUUCUUCAUACAUGUAUAUCUAUAUCAAUUUAUUUAAAGUAUGUGCUACUAAUUAAGAAAUGAGUAUACAUCAGUAUUUUUGAUUUUUUUAUUAUGUUUUGUGGUGUUGAUUAUAACAUUAUAUUGUAUUUUUUCUCAUCUAUGUGAGGUCUUGACUCAAUGGUUUAUUUUUUCAGUGCAUUGGAGUUCAGCAGGGAAAUAAUAACGUCUGAUUUUACCCUGUGUUAUUCUAAGCUUAUAGGCCAGUAUUCUGAAAAUCAAAAUUCACGAUUUCCCUUUCAUUAAGUACUCUUUUAUAGAUUGAUUUUGUUAAGUUUAAACUACUUACUUCAUCCAAAUUAAGAACAAGAAAUGUAAAAAAAAAAUAAAAAAUAUUUGAAUUCUCUUUCCCUACGCAUGUCUGAACUGUGUUAUGUACUUCCGGUAUUUUCUCCCUCACUGAUGAAAUUAACCGGUUCCGUCUUGACUGUUUUAUAGAAUCUGUGAUCGGGUCUCUAAUAUAUGUGAUAUCACGUACUAGAAGCUAUUUAUCAUUGAUGUUGAAUGUGAUAUAGUAUUUUUGUCACUGUGAAUUAUUAAAUCAUCUCUAUUUU